UGGGGAAUAUUGGACAAUGGGGGAAACCCUGAUCCAGCAAUGCCGCGUGAGUGAAGAAGGCCUUAGGGUUGUAAAGCUCUUUCGCCCGCGAAGAUAAUGACGGUAGCGGGAGAAGAAGCCCCGGCUAACUCCGUGCCAGCAGCCGCGGUAAUACGGAGGGGGCUAGCGUUGUUCGGAAUUACUGGGCGUAAAGCGUACGUAGGCGGAUGCGCAAGUUGGGGGUGAAAUCCCGGGGCUUAACCUCGGAACUGCCAUUGAUACUAUAUGUCUUGAAUAUUGUGGAGGUAAGCGGAAUAUGUCAUGUAGCGGUGAAAUGCAUAGAUAUGACAUAGAACACCGAUUGCGGAGGCAGCUUGCUACGCAAAUAUUGACGCUGAGGCACGAAAGCGUGGGGAUCAAACA
rnacentral:rRNA from 1 species